UAAGGAAACUGGCCGCUCAUGUAAUUAACCUGUGAGGUGCCAGCCUUCUCCUUACUACUGGUGCUGUGCCUCCAGGCAUUCUGGCUGCUCUCUGCCCUGUCCACGCUACUGAGAGGCACCCUGGGUCACAAUUAAGGGAGAAGGCAAGGGGGUGGGGGUCAGUGGCAUUCCCUGUACUAUAGGACACACUCAGGCUCAGGUAUUACAUUGAGAAGGGCUUCGGGAUGAUGAAGAAGUACCCAGAUUGUGUUCUCUCAACACUGGGGCAGUAGGAAAAAGGCUUGGAAGCCUGACUAAUGUCAGACUCUCAUUGUGGCAAACCUGAAGGGAAAUCUAUAUUCUAAAUAGCUUGCUAUGUAAGUGUCUAGGACUGUUAUUCUGUAUAUUUUUGCUCAUUCUGUGGAUGCUAUUGUUGUAUUUAUGGAGAAGUUUGCCAAGGCCUUUUUACAUGCCUUCCAAAACUGAAAAGACGAAAGCUUGGACACAUAUGGCUAAGCCAUGUCCGAGAGUGGUCAAAAGGAGGCAACAAGGCAGCAAAAGUUACUAACAAGGAAGAACACACAAAACUACAAUAUAAACAGAGAAAUCCUGUUAAUUAUAUAUCGAGUUUAAGAAGGGCAAUACUUUCCCCCCUCCUUUUCCCCUUUCCCUCUUGAUGUGUGAACUGAGUGAAAACUACUUUCCACUUUGAACUCAGUUUGCAGAAACUGGAAUAAGCCAAUGAUUGACAGGAGAAAGCGGAAAGAAGACAGACAAAAUGGAAUAUUUUAAAAGCAGCUAAGAAAGCAGGACAGCAGAGGAUAAAUUGGAGUGCGGGCAGAGGGGGGGAGGAUGGAUGGAUAUCCUUCCCUGAUUUGAGGUUUCUGUUAAAGACGCUGGUUGAGAAAACAAGAAUUGCUUAGGUACCAAUAAAUCCUCCCAUGUUCUGUCUUGCAGGUAUAGUACUAAUUGCCUGAAUUAACCACACUGGAUUAUCAAGUUCAGACCUAGAUGCUAUCUCAGAUUCUCCUAGGAAACUCUGGAAACUGAAGUUCAAAAUGUAACUUUUUCCAGCUUGGAUGACACACAACACAACGUGAAAAUGUGCUGUCCAUUUCCCUGCAAUGUUUUCCAUCAUUGGCUAUGGCUGGGUAAUAUUCAGCAGAACGCUGCAUAACAUACAUCAUCCUACCCGAGGCUUCAGCAAGACGAAAGGAGAAAAGGGAAAUGGAGCAGCAGGAACGAUGUCUGCCUUACAGCAUCACUAGUUCCAUCAUAGUAAGUGAGCCCAGCACUGCAGCAUCAUGUGACUGUGGCGUAGCUAGAAUUGCAGACUAACAGCUGGACCUCAUAACAGUAAAGGUAAAGGUUUUCCCCUUGA